GCCUUCUUAGCUCAGCUGGCAGAGCGUAUCCCUCGUAGGAGGUCGUACGGCACUUGCAAGGGUAAGGUCGUCGGUUCGAUUCCGGCAGAAGGCA